rnacentral:rRNA from 1 species
GACGAACGCUGGCGGCGUGCUUAACACAUGCAAGUCGAACGGUGAAGCGCCUUCCUUUUUGGUGGGUGUGGAUGAGUGGCGAACGGGUGAGUAACACGUGAGUAACCUGCCCCCUCCUUCUGGAUAACCGCAUGAAAGUGUGGCUAAUACGGGAUAUUCUGGGUCUGUCGCAUGAUGGGUGUGGGAAAGAUAUUGUGUCGGUUGGGGAUGGGCUCGCGGCGUAUCAGCUUGUUGGUGGGGUAAUGGCCUACCAAGGCGGCGAUGCGUAGCCGGCCUGAGAGGGGGAUGGGCCACACUGGAACGGAGACGCGGCCGACACGACUACUGGAGGCAGCAGUAGUGAAGAUUACGGAAUGGUCGGAAGACUGAUGGAGCAGCGACGCGGGGGGGAGGAAGGUGGUCGGAGGGUAGAACACUGUUUUUGCGGGUGAAGCAGUGCUGCCGCGUUUGUGGGUGGCUUGACGGUACCUGAACAAGAAGCGCCGGCUAACUACGUG